rnacentral:rRNA from 1 species
UACGGAGGAUCCAAGCGUUAUCCGGAUUCAUUGGGUUUAAAGGGUGCGUAGGCGGAAUGAUAAGUCAGCGGUGAAAUCCCUCGGCUUAACCGAGGAACUGCCGUUGAUACUGUCAAUCUUGAGUACAUUUGAUGUGGGCGGAAUGUGUCAUGUAGCGGUGAAUGCUUAGAUAUGACACAGAACACCGAUUGCGAAGGCAGCUCACAAAACUGUAACUGACGCUGAGGCACGAAAGCGUGGGUAUCAAACAGG